rnacentral:tRNA from 1 species
UCCCUGGUGGUCCAGUACUAAGACUCCCUGCUCCCAAUGCAGGGAGCCCAGGUUCAAUCCCUGGUCUGGGAA